GAUACUCUAACUCGGUUAGAGGUUAGAGUUAGAUUCUAACCCUGGACUAACCCUAAACUAACUCUAACCAAAGAGGUGUUUGGAUGAAAGGGUUAGAUUGUCAAUAAAUGCAUCUUUUUCAAUCAUUUGGCUCCUUUAUCAAGGAUUUGGUGUGGUGAAGGUAGAGAGAAAAGUAACUUUUUGUGGGCCCAACCCAACUCUAACCCAAAUAAGCACCUCUUGGAUGGGUUAGUUUUUU
rnacentral:lncRNA from 1 species